CGUAAUAAUAGAAACUAACCAGGAUUCCCUUAGUAACGGCGAGUGAACUGGGAUACCAACACACCAAUAUGCACUCUGUGCAUAAUUUAGCCCGUCGAUACUAUCCUAGCAUAUCACCGGUCUCGGCCGGUAACCCAAUAUGCGGGAAUUGUAGCAUCGUAAUAAAAAAUAUAUAUAUGCUGUGCACACACACACACACACCCAGUGCCAUGCGUACGUGACCUUGUAAACACACAGCGUCUCCGCGUUGGAAAGCAAGUAUAUAUCCUCUUUGGAUAUGCCAUAGAGUGUGACAGCCACGUUUGACUCACUCCAUGUACGCGCACACACCCAUUGCACACACAUUAUAUAUUUCUAUAACCUGAGUCGAGUUAUUU
rnacentral:rRNA from 1 species